GAUGCCUUUUCAUCUAAUUGAAUUUCAAGCGAGCGAGGACAUCGCUGUUGUGCCAAUUGACUGGUAUGAUGACGGGAUGGUGUACUGGCCCAGCUUUAAGAGCACUGAGCGUGUGAAAAGGGCAGCUGCUAACGAGGAGAAGCAUGAGCCAAACUGGCCAAGAUAUGAUGUAAAGGUUGUCAGAACUUGUGACAACUACAAAGACGCCAUUAGGCUUAUGACUCAAUAUCAGAAUGGCUGCAACACCUCUGAGCUACAGUCUGAGGCAGAGCAGGAGGGUAAGCUGCCAGAGAAAAAGAUUCAGGAAGCCAGUCCAUCGUUUUGGGGACUCUGAUGAGAGUGAAGAAGAGCCAGAAAAUGGUGACUUUGCAUCUCUGAGGAUGCCACGACCUUCCAACUUGCCUGGUGUAUCAGUUGAAGCCUCAUGCCCAAGCCAAUUGCACUGGAAGACUCCAUCAUCUUGCCGAGUGCCAGGCAGCAGAGUAACUACUCCUCAACCUGGAGAAAACUGUCUAGCACCAGACUAUGGAGCAGGACAGCAACACCCUUCACCACCUCAACUCCCAACACCCGCAUUUAACAUGCGGAGAGUUACUCAAGGAAUGGCAGUCCCUCCACAACUCCCUCCACCCCCCGCACCAGCCCUCAACAUGCGGCCAACAGAGGAAGCCUGUUCAAGCCUGACCUACAGACCAACAUGGCGAGGGGGAAGAAUGGCCGAUACCAUUCCCUGCUCUGCGGCUGAGGUCCACAUACUUAGCCUGCUGGAAACCAUUAAACAGCAACAAGACCAGCUUGUGGCAAAGGUGAACUACCUCAGCAGCAGGCUGAACAGCACCCCGGGGCCAGAUGUUGAGAUGCCUGAAAAUAUCCAGUUUCCCCUGGAACAAUUGGAGGCCGUGGAGGCAUUUGAAAUGUUUCUAAAGGAACCGUCAAAUGGCCCAGCUCGACAGAGAGUGAUUUCUUCUUUGGCCACCAUUGGAGGCCAGGAUGUGAAGAGGGUGACCUGGAACAUCCUGGGCAGGCUCUUCACAGAUGAGGUGUCUCAUCAGAUCAACUGGAAGGGUGUUAAUAACAAAAAAAGCCCUUCAGUAGGAUGGCAACGAAGACCUUGCUUUUCAGUGCUGUGA
ensembl:lncRNA